rnacentral:rRNA from 1 species
UACGAAGGGGGCUAGCGUUGCUCGGAAUUACUGGGCGUAAAGGGCGCGUAGGCGGACAGUUAAGUCAGAGGUGAAAGCCCAGGGCUCAACCCUGGAAUUGCCUUUGAUACUGGCUGUCUUGAGUACGGGAGAGGUGAGUGGAACUCCGAGUGUAGAGGUGAAAUUCGUAGAUAUUCGGAAGAACACCAAGUGGCGAAGGCGACUCACUGGCCCGUUACUGACGCUGAGGCGCGGAAAGCGAGGGGAGCAAACUGGGAUUAAGA